rnacentral:lncRNA from 1 species
GAGGGGGCCGGGCUAGCGGGCUACUGGGCUGCGGAGACCAGAGCCCGGCUCCACUGAAGAAACCCGCCGGCUGCUGGGGCAGGGCGGCGAAAGGUCAGUCGGCCGAGAGGAGUCCGUGGAGCCACCGUUUCAUAGCCUCAGGGAAAGGAUCGGGCGUGCUCACGAGCCCUCUAACCCAUGGCUUAAACACCCGCUUCCUAAGCCUGGAUGGAAUGAUAGGGUAUGCAUAAAUGUUCAUGUGGGCUCUGGAGUAUACCAGGAACUGAAGUAAGGUACAUGGACGUCUUGAAUAUUGUAACUGAGAUGGGCAAGCCUACACCUUUGCAAAUAAAGGAGGAUUGGGAAAGAUUAAGGUACUUCCUAAGCGUGGCUACUCCAAUGAAGCUUUAGUAUAUGUACUGAAAGAAGAUCCUCUCAUACUGCCACAGCCAAGAGAUAAGGUUGUAAAUCUUUAUUGGGAGAAGCCGUCAAGGACAGUUCUGUGAAAUGAAAGGAUCUCUGGAUCACCACAAAGUCUGGCUCAGUGACUAUGGCUUUGCAAACACUAAACAUUCCUGUCUCAAGUCCUGUAGAUGGCUUGAAAUAGUAUACAUAAGCAUGCCUUAUAAACAUCUUCAGUCUUUAUCAACUCUUUGGAGAUUCAGCCAUUCUUUUUUGUACUUUAGGGAAUUAAAUCAUUUUAUAAUGUAUAAAUCUGAGCAUGGCCGAUGGCAGAAGAAAUUUUGUCAUACGUUUUUAAAGAAAUAAAAAUGUAUUAUGUUUUAAAAUUCC